UAUGAACAACAAAAAACACAA
rnacentral:piRNA from 1 species